rnacentral:tRNA from 1 species
GCCUCAUUAGCUCAGGGGUUAGAGCACUGGUCUAGUAAACCAGGGGUCGAGAGUUCAAAUCUCUGAUGAGGCU